rnacentral:lncRNA from 1 species
GGAAGCCUGGAAUUAAGGAUGCAAGCAUGUUCAUGAGCGUGGUGUAGGAUGGAUGGGGAAGGAAAUUGCAGGAGACCUUCCGCUCCCUCCUCCACCUGGGGCUGGGCCGUGAAAACAAUAACAGAGAGCACGCCAGUGAUCAUAAGAAGAAAAAUUCACAUUUAAAGUUUGGAAAGCAACAGGACAAAGGUCUGUCUUCAGUGGGAGUAUCCUAUGAAGAUGGUCUCAAAGCACUUUGAGAUGAACAGAAUGUUCUAUAAAUGGGAAUUGAAAAUAAUCAAGACAUUCA